GCCGGAAUAGCUCAGCUGGUAGAGCAACGCAUUCGUAAUGCGUGGGUCGGGGGUUCGAUUCCCUCUUCCGGCA
rnacentral:tRNA from 5 species